GUUUCUGGUUCAGACUUCAGUCUGGCACUAACAACAGCUUGGGUCGGUAGUUGUACGUUCGCGGUAGCUGUACAACUCGUUGGCUUUUGCAAGUUUCUCUACCUUUCAUUUUUUUUGUUAUCGCAUUCUGCAAAAUGGAGCUCUUAAAUUGUAGUGCACAGCGUGACGACAAACAAAAUCAGUCGAAAUUAUUUUCUCUCUUACCGUUGAUGCCGAUGGCCGGAUUCGUGGAAGCGCAGUAAUAAAUAUUUAGAGCCGCAUUCAACCAAUCAGUUGCGAUCAGUGAAAAGCGAGCACCGGUUACGAUUCAACGUUGGUUAAUAUAAAAUCUGAAUCCGCAGCUCAAGAGUCAAGUUGUAAGCGAAAAAAAACCUAAAGUGUAAAUAAAGAAGAAAUAGUGUAUACCAACGGAAGUGGCCGUUUCAUAUGAUAGUUCGAUCACCUCCGGUAAAGAUUUUGCGAUAACCGGUGGCCAUUUGAUUGUGUUUUAUUCGUUCGGGUUCAACCGACUGGAUCGGAUUGUAUUGGAGAUUUAAAAAAGUGUGUGGUACCGUGAAUUCAGUCUCAGGGGUGAAGAAUUCUUUCAAAUACGAAAGGCGAAAUUGGCUAUUGAGUUGAAAUAUUGUGUUACUGGAAUAAAGCGAUAUGCGUUUAGUUCAUGUGGAUGCGAUAGUGAAUCAAAGAAUUCAACCAAAUUGUUUGGUCGAAGUAGCAAAUAGUGAUUUUCGCAAGUAACAAGUGUAUUACGUUCGACAGCAGGGUCUGCCAGUUAAAAAUCAAGCUGUUGUACAGUGUAAUAUCCGCACGAGGGCUGAAUGAAUGAUGGAAGCGCGUGUCAACGGAGGAGCACUUUUUCGCGAGAUCCACAAGAACACCUGGCUUCGAAGACUGAAUGUUGAUGGAAAACGACCUUCUGUACUAGCAAAG